CAUCGAGUCUUUGAACGCAAGUUGCGCUCGAGGCCGUCAGGCUAAGGGCACGCCUGCCUGGGCGUUGUGUACUGUGUCUCUCCCACCAAUGGUUGUCCAAGAAUACCGUUCGGUCGGUGCGGAUGUGAGUUUGGCCCCUUGUUCUUCGGUUCAAUGGGUCUAAGACCUCG
rnacentral:rRNA from 1 species